rnacentral:piRNA from 1 species
UGCAAAUUAAACAUAACCAGGAGCUCUUACU